rnacentral:rRNA from 1 species
UACAGAGGUCUCAAGCGUUGUUCGGAUUCAUUGGGCGUAAAGGGUGCGUAGGCGGCGCGGUAAGUCGGGUGUGAAAUUUCGAGGCUUAACUUCGAAACUGCAUUCGAUACUGCCGUGCUUGAGGACUGGAGAGGAGACUGGAAUUUACGGUGUAGCAGUGAAAUGCGUAGAUAUCGUAAGGAAGACCAGUGGCGAAGGCGAAUCUCUGGACAGUUACUGACACUGAGGCACGAAGGCCAGGGGAGCAAACGGG